CUACGGGAUGCAGCAGUGAGGAAUAUUGCACAAUGGGGGGAACCCUGAUGCAGCAACGCCGCGUGGAGGAUGACGCAUUUCGGUGUGUAAACUCCUUUUAUAUGUCAAGAAAAUGACGGUAGCAUAUGAAUAAGCACCGGCUAACUCCGUGCCAGCAGCCGCGGUAAUACGGAGGGUGCAAGCGUUACUCGGAAUCACUGGGCGUAAAGGACGCGUAGGCGGGUUGGAAAGUCAGGUGUGAAAUCCUACAGCUUAACUGUAGAACUGCACUUGAAACUUCUAAUCUAGAGUAUGGGAGGGGGAGAUGGAAUUAGUGGUGUAGGGGUAAAAUCCGUAGAUAUCACUAGGAAUACCUAAAGCGAAGGCGAUCUCCUGGAACAUUACUGACGCUAAAUUGCGAAGGUGUGGGUAUCAAACAGGAUUAGAUACCCCCGUAGUC
rnacentral:rRNA from 1 species